AAUUUACCGUUUAAACUGACCACUGAUGAAAAUUGAAGGGCUGCAGUAUAUUGACUGUACAAAGGUAGCAUAAUCAAUAGUCUUUUAAUUGAAGACUUGUAUGAAUGAUUUGAUGAAAUAUAAACUGUCUCUAAUUUAAAUAUAGAAUUUAAUUUUUUAGUCAAAAAGCUAAAAUGAUUUUAAAAGACGAGAAGACCCUAUAGAGUUUUAUAUUUAAAUUAUUUAAUAUUUUAUAUAUAAAUUAUAAUAAAAAUUAAUUAAAAUAUUUUAUUGGGGUGAUAGAAAAAUUUAAAAAACUUUUUUUAAAAAAAAAUCAUAAAUAAGUGAAAUGAUGAUCCAUAAUUAAUGAUUAAAAGAAAAAAUUACCUUAGGGAUAACAGCGUAAUUUUUUUUUUUAGUUCAAAUAAAAAAAAAAAAUUGCGACCUCGAUGUUGGAUUAAAAUAAAAUUUAAAUGCAAAAGUUUAAAAUUUUGAUCUGUUCGAUCAUUAAAAUCUUACAUG
rnacentral:rRNA from 1 species